GGUCGAGCAAGGAUGAAAAUCGGACUUAGUGAUCCGGUGGUUCUGCGUGGAAGGGCCAUCGCUCAACGGAUAAAAGCUACCCUGGGGAUAACAGGCUUAUCUCCCCCAAGAGUCCACAUCGACGGGGAGGUUUGGCACCUCGAUGUCGGCUCAUCACGUCCUGGGGCUGUAGUAGGUCCCAAGGGUUGGGCUGUUCGCCCAUUAAAGUGGUACGCGAGCUGGGUUCAGAACGUCGUGAGACAGUUCGGUCCCUAUCCGUCGCAGGCGUAGGAAAUUUGAGAAGACCUGUCCUUAGUACGAGAGGACCGGGAUGGACGUACCUCUGGUGUACCAGUUGUUCUGCCAAGGGCAUGGCUGGGUAGCUAUGUACGGAAUGGAUAAGCGCUGAAAGCAUCUAAGCGCGAAGCCAACUUCAAGAUAAGAUUUCCCACCGCAAGGGUAAGACCCCAGAAAGACUAUCUGGUUGAUAGGUCGAAGGUGUAAGUGCAGCAAUGUAUUUAGCUUAUCGAUACUAAUAGGUCGAGGACUUGACCAAAUU
rnacentral:rRNA from 1 species